CUUAUUGUUGUGUGUCAACUCAUAAACACCUCUUUCAAAGGAAGGAGCCUUUAGCAGUUCUUUAUAGAAUGAGUAAUAAAUGGCGCUGUCACCCUGAAAUGUAAUUUCUCGUUCAAGUUCCUGCCUGCUGGAAAACCAGAAUUUCCGUUCAUGAUAUGUGGAGAGGUACACAGCAUACAUCAUCCCACUAGUGACUGCCGCAAGACAGCCAAAGAAAAGUUUCGCAAAACGCUGAAUUAACAUAUAUUUUGGCGACCUUCCCAGCUUCGAGUUUUCUUUGUGUCUCUCCUCUGGAGCCAUUUUGUCAGAUUCUGUGCAGUUUUGUUUCCUCCUCUGUCGCAGGUCUGCUGCCCCUUCCUCCAUCCUGCGGCCGCCGCCCGCCGCCGGGGCCCCGCGCCGCUCCGUGCGGGGCGGCGAGGCCGCCCCCCCCGCGUUCCGUCCGCCGCCGCCGCCCCCCUCUCGUCGGCCCCGCGGGCGGGAGCGCUCUCGCAUACCACGGCGAGCGGGAACGCCGCGGCCCCGCACUUCCUGGCGUCGCCGCCGUGCCGCUGCCGGGCGCCUGCCGCGGGGGAACGGUGGCGGCGGGGCGAGGGAGGCGGCGGGGCGCGGCGCGGCGUACCGAGGCGGUACCGAGGCAGGCGGCGCGCUCUGCCCCGCUUCCGGGGGAAGGCUCUGCCCCUCGGGCUUCCCGGCCGCGGAGCUCUAUGGAAAUAAAAAGGCGGUAGCGCCGCGCUCUGCCGCCUCCGCCUGGUGGCCCGGCUGCAGCCCGGGGAAGGUCCUCACAGGGGAGGCUGUGGGGCAGUGGGCCCAGUGCGGCACUGCGGGUUUGUAGCUGCAACGCUGAUGUUUGCCAUUACGGCCUCCUUUUAGGGGAAGAGGCCUUGUUUGGGUAAAAGGAGGGCAGUGGACGAGCAUAGGGACACGGGGAACCCGGCGUCCCAGUUAUCAGCGCCCCGGCAAAGGAAGGGCUUGAGGGAAUGGGGUCAUUCCCUGCAUGCUGCCUGGCAGUGCCCUCAGACCCUAAGGGUUGGCAUGGACAGCUGUGUGGAAGUUAACAGAAGAGCUGGGAAGCGUUGUGUUUGCUGACAGGACCUCAGUCUUGGCAGGAGGAGUGAUUAAAGACUGAAUGAGGUUGGAAAAAACCACCACGAUCACCUGGUCCGACUGCCACCCCCACCGUGCCCACUAACCACGUCCUCAGUGCCACAUCUCAGUCCUUGAACACCUCCAGGGACGGUGACUCCCCCACCUCCCGGGGCAGCCCGUGCCGCUGCCUCACCGCUCUUCUGGGAAGGAAUCUUUCCUACUGUCCGUUCUGGGUCUUGGGAUGCAGCACCAAGCAGAGCCCCUGGGCUCGUUGAACCUCGCAGAAGCAAACUGUUGGACCGGCUGAUGGAGAACUUGUGGAAGUCACCCACUGGAACCGCAUGUCUGCCUGCAGCCAGGCUGCUGUCCCAUCAGCUGCUGGAAAGCUGAUUGGGUUUCUUGUCGGGCAGCUGAAAGGAAAAACUAAAGCAAUUUGUGUAUCCUGUCGGAGCGUAAAAUGAGAUUUAUAGGGUUCCUGGGUUUUUUAAUAAAAUUUAAAAUACUUCUGCAAUUGUUGAUUUAUUGGAUAGUUAAAAGAGUUGCUUAUGUUUUUAAUGAUCCAUAAAUUACCCGUUGCAUUUUUAAUGUAGUUUGGUUUUAUCUGGUUUUUUUUUUUUCGUAGCUUGAUUCUAUUAUAAGUUACUGGAAUGAGCACAAAUAAUCAUCGCAAUCAAAGCAACAAAAACAGGUUUAAAUACUUGUAAUCAGACCAUUAAUACAUGGACAGGAGCAAAAGAAACGACUGUACAGUUAUGCUGUAAAUUCUGGUCUUCUUAAGGCCUUCGUAGUACCACUUUCAUGCUGUACCUUCUUCCGUUUCUUGUGCAGUACUGCAGUGUGUCCAACCUGCUCCAUUGUUUGUAAUUUUUUCCAUGGUAUUUUGUGGAUUAACGGAAGGGAAGGGAAUCGAAGAUCAUUUUUCAUGCAAGUUUCUUCCUCUCAGCACAAAUGGGCUGAAAUACUUCUUUUGAUUAAUGUUGAAAAAAGUUCCUAAUGCAGCUCUUCAAUCUUUCAAAACACUUUCUAUAACUAGUGUUAUAUGCGAGUUCUUUCAUUUGGCAGCUUAUUAUGUGUCCUAAACACAGUGCUGUAAUACAUUAACGUGAAUAAAUAUAGGGAUGCUGGGUACUUUUCCCAAGCUUUCUCAGUACAAGCAUGAAUUGUGUAUCUGCAUUUUGGCAUUAGUCCUCUAUUUACAUACUACUUCCAAGCCCUGCAGACAUAACUUUUCUUUUUGUUUACAAGUCCACGUUAUUGAUGCUUUCUAGUUUAACAGUAUUUUUUUCCUGUUUUAGAGAUAUCGUGAGGCAAAUAAUACACAGGUGGACUUUAGAGUAAGGCAUUAAUAUUGGCCGUAUUUGUCAUUCUUCAAAAGAAGAAUGUGUAGUUCUUUGUAGCGUAGUAUGUGUAAUGUGUAGUAGAAGAAGGUGUACUUGUUUGUUUUGUGAACAUACAUACAAACACAUAUAUUUUAGUUAGAGAGAGAAAAUACUUCCCAUGCCCCAAAAUGCUGUAAAGUUUUGUUUCAAUAACUGCUGCAGGUACUUCACCUGUUUGGCCUUUUGAGGUGUUCAUUUUGUGGCUGUUCUGUGGUGUCAGCAUCCCAAGUUUUUGCUUAUUUUAACUAUUUCGGACCCUUUCCUCCUCAAAGCUGUUUGUUCUGCUGGGAUGUAAAAAAUACGACCUAUAUAAGAUCUAGGUUUUUCACUGUGCUGUCCCGUCUGAUAUGGGAAAUUCAAGGAAUUAAGUGCAGGGAAAAAGGAGGAUAAUGACAGCAUGCAAUCGUUACUUAAAAUCAGAACCAAGAAGUCCGAAAAUUAAACUGCAUAAAAAGAAAUAAACUGUUUAAAACUCUGUUUUUCCAGGGUGUGAUUUCCCUGUGUUUCUGUGUUGUCCUCUUGUCCAAACCCUAUUUAUCGUGCUGGAUAAGUAGGGUUUGGACAAGAAAUUGUCAGGUUGGGCAAUUCUUGAUGGAAGCAUCAGGUGCAUCUUCUGUGCCACGUUGUUCAGAGGUGGUUGCAGGAAGCCUUUCUAUUCAGAUUUUUUUAUAGAACCAUAGAGAACCUUUGGGAUUUCUCCACCUGUUUAACCCUCUUCCUACUUUACAGUGCUUCUGAUCACUUCAGCUAUUGCUGCAUUGCCC
rnacentral:lncRNA from 1 species